GGCGCUAGCUUAGUGGUUUGGGUGUUGGACUGUGACUCUGGAAACCAGGGUUCAAUUCUCUGCUCAGUCG